UUGCCCUCACUUCCGUCUUUCUUUACAAGGCAAGGCGGGGAUGGAAGCGCCUUAAGGUCUCCUAGGAAACAGAGUAGCUAUGCCUGCGAGAGUCAGGGAGGCCCCUGUCGGCCCGGCGGGGAACUCGCCCUCUGCGCGACUGAGGCUGCUAAGAGCCUGGAAUUCCAAAUGCGUCCAGCAAAAUGCUGGGUUCUCGUCAUCCCGAGAGGAUUGCAGAGUGUAGUGUCGGAGACGUGUCUAUUCUGUGGCCAAGCCCCUUCCCUCCUCUGACACUGCCACCACUCUGGUGUAGGUCCGUGCAAAUAGCCAGCUGAUUAAAUUUAGUAUACACAUUUAUUUCAGUGAUGAAGAGAAUAAGAGCGAUUUCAACCAUUAAUCUCAAGAGAUAUUAUAUGAGUGAUGUCAGAAACCAGAGUGCAGUGGGAUUAGAAGAGAAUCACAGGAGGAAACUGAAGAACUGAGCAUGGAUGACUGGCCAGGUUUGCAACUUGGUACAAUGCUUACUACUUCUCAUUCUCAACCAGCCUAGUUCCUACCUCAUUAUCUCUUCUCAGGAUUUACUGCAACAACUUAUUUGGUCUCCUUGCCCCAAGACUUUCUACAUUCCAAUUUGUCCUCUAAACAACCCUCAAGGUGAUUUUUCCAAAAGCUCCUCUAUUAAUAAAUCCCAGUGGUUUCCUACUACCUGUAGAAUAAAAUUUAGAUUUCUCUAGCAUCUAAAGUGCCUUAUGAGUUGGUCCCUUACUUCUCUCCCCCACUCUAUGAUCUAGCAUUAUUGACUGCCCAGUUGGCAGAAGAUGGUCCAAUACCUAGAAUCUUACACCUAUUGGAAUCCCUGAUUUCCUUCAAACCUCUGCUAAGAUGUCAUCUUUUACAUAAAGUUUUUCCCAAUUUUUCCCA